GACGAACGCUGGCGGCGUGCUUCACACAUGCAAGUCGAACGAUGAUGCCAGCUUGCUGGUGGAUUAGUGGCGAACGGGUGAGUAACACGUGAGCAACCUGCCCCUGGCUUCGGGAUAACCGCGGGAAACCGUUGCUAAUACCGCAUAUGACGCGCUCUCGCAUGGUGUUGUUUGGAAAUCUUUUUCGGUUGGGGAUGGCCUCGCGGCCUAGCAGCUUGUUGGUGGGGUGGUGGACUACCAAGGGGACGACGGGUAGGCGGCCUGCGGGGGUGACAGGCCACACUGGGACUGGGAGACGGCGCAGAGUCCUACAGGAGGAAGCGGUGGAGAAGAUUGGACAAUGGGCGCAAGCCUGAUGCAGCGACGCCGCGUGAGGGAGGACGGCCUUCGGGUUGUAGACCUCUUUCAGUAGGGAAGAAGGCCUUCGGGUUGACGGUACCUGCAGAAGAAGCGCCGGCUAACUACGUG
rnacentral:rRNA from 1 species